rnacentral:rRNA from 1 species
GACGAACGCUGGCGGCGUGCUUAACACAUGCAAGUCGAGCGGAAAGGCCCGGCUUUUGUGGGGUGCUCGAGUGGCGAACGGGUGAGUAACACGUGAGUAAACUGCCCUUGACUUUGGGAUAACUUCAGGAGACUGGGGCUCAUACCGGAUAGGAGCUCCUGCUGCAUAGUGGGGGUUGGAAAGUUUCGGCGGUGGGGGAUGGACUCGCGGCUUAUCAGCUUGUUGGUGGGGUAGUGGCUUACCAAGGCUUUGACGGGUAGCAGGCCUGAGAGGGUGACCGGCCACAUUGGGACUGAGAUACGGCCCAGACUCCUACGGGAGGGAGCAGUGGGGAAUAUUGCAGAAUGGGCGGAAGCCUGAUGCAGCAACGCCGCGUGCGGGAUGACGGCCUUCGGGGUGUAAACCGUUUUCGCCUGUGACGAUGCGUGAGUGACGGUAAUGGGUAAAGAAGCACCGGCUAACUACGUG